rnacentral:rRNA from 1 species
CGUGCCUAACACAUGCAAGUCGAACGAGAAACUCCGGGCUUGCUCGGAGAGUACAGUGGCGCACGGGUGAGUAACGCGUGGGUAACCUACCCUUGAAUUUGGGAUAACCCCGCGAAAGCGGGACUAAUACCGGAUAUGGUUCCAUCAGCUUCGGCUCUUGGAAUUAAAGGUGACCUCUUCAUGAAAGUUGCCGUUCAGGGACGGGCUCGCGUACCAUUAGCUUGUUGGUAGGGUAAUGGCCUACCAAGGCUACGAUGGUUAGCUGGUCUGAGAGGAUGAUCAGUCACACUGGAACUGGAACACGGUCCAGACUCCUACGGGAGGCAGCAGUGAGGAAUUUUGCGCAAUGGGGGAAACCCUGACGCAGCAACGCCGCGUGAGCGAAGAAGGCCUUCGGGUCGUAAAGCUCUGUCAAGUGGGAAAAAAGCCUUUCGGUCAAUAUCCGGAAGGUCUGAUGGUACCACUGGAGGAAGCACCGGCUAACUCCGUGCCAGCAGCCGCGGUAUUUUCGGAGGGUGCAAGCGUUGUUCGGAAUUACUGGGCGUAAAGCGCGUGCAGGCGGUUUGGUAAGUCAGAUGUGAAAGCCCUGGGCUCAACCCGGGAAGUGCAUUUGAAACUGCCUUUCUUGAGUAUGGGAGAGGAGAGUGGAAUUCCCAGUGUAGAGGUGAAAUUCGUAGAUAUUGGGAGGAACACCCGUGGCGAAGGCGACUCUCUGGACCAAUACUGACGCUGAGACGCGAAAGCGUGGGGAGCAAACAGGAUUAGAUACCCUGGUAGUCCACGCCGUAAACGAUGAGAACUAGGUGUAGCGGGUAUUGACCCCUGCUGUGCCGAAGUUAACGCAUUAAGUUCUCCGCCUGGGGAGUACGGCCGCAAGGCUAAAACUCAAAGGAAUUGACGGGGGCCCGCACAAGCGGUGGAGCAUGUGGUUUAAUUCGACGCAACGCGAAGA